rnacentral:lncRNA from 1 species
GCACCCACUUACAUCCAAUUGUUGUGGAAAGAUGUGAUUCUUUCACCAUUCACCUUGUGGUCUUCUCUCACGUGUUGGAUAUCUUCUUUCAUGCAAAGAAGAUGAGCCUUCUUGCACCUCUUGCUGCCUUGUAUGACUCAUGGAGUGCUUUCUCUUACUCAUUUGUUGGUAUUCUUCAUCUUCAUUCUCUUCCUUGUCCUUGUUGUAUCUUGCUGGAAUUGAGUCUUCAUAGUAUUGGGCUCUUCUAUCAUGGCAACUUCCUCUCCUUCUUCACUUUGAGAAUGCUCUUCUUCAUCUUCUUGUUUGUUUGUUGGAAUUGAAGAUGUGUCCACAAACACACCACUAUUCCCACUUGGACACAUCUCCCACUUUU